CAGAGCGGCUGCGGACAUCCUUCCCCCGUGUGCCCUCCCAGAUGUGCGUGUAUUAACCAGACUGCUGUCCAACCUAUUUGACAGAGUCACAGACGUGAGGAUAGUGUCUGAUAAGGCACAUAACGACAACUUCCAGUGUGGAAGAACCAGAAGGCACGAGAAGAAGCCCUAUCCUGAGGUCUGAGAUGGAAGCGCAUUCCUUUUGGUUGGACAGCAGGUGGCAGUACAUGCAGACCACAAAGCUAUCCUGUCUGCAGGAGUAAAAGGCUCAGGGAAGGGAGGGGGGCCGCUAAGAUGUUCAGUGCACAGACACACACGCAUGCAUGCUCGCAUACACAUCCAGUUUGCACUUACAUCAUCAUUACCAGGGGAGGAGCUCUGCAGAAUGUGAGGAUUGCAGACAGCUACUGUAACAGGGAUGACUUCAAAAGAAACAGCAACAUUGGCAUGAUUCAGUCUUGACACCCUGCGGUCAGUGUGAAGACUCUAAACUGCUGCAGUCCUGGUCAGAGCAUGAGGAUCCUGCCAGGGUGAUUCACAGGAGCUGGGACGUGACUUUAGUGACCUCAGUACAGCAGCAUGGCAUCACCCAGGCACUACGGACACUCUGCUCGGGAUAUUACCAACGUGAUGCAGAAGCUGCAAGGAAGCAUCGCACCCUGCAGGCAUACCUGUGUGAGCGCCGGGCGCUGACCCACGUCCAACCUCCACAACCUCAGUGAAGGAUCUGGUAUUUUCUGGGGCUGCCAGGGGCUCCAACAGGGAUCCAGACCAGCUGAGGUUCAGGCUGUUUCAACCCCCCACUAUCAUCUUUUUUUUGUUUUUUUCCUCUUGGAAAGACUGAAACACUCCUGAGAUCUGCAGCCUAAAGGAGUCUGUUGGUUUAUUUUGGUUUAUACCGUAUAUGUGAAAGUGAUUGUCUCCAUUCAGCUUAUUCCGUUCAACAUGUGUGUGUGAGCCUGUGUGCACCUGCUCACCCUGUGGUUCUCUCAGCUCCCGUGGUGAAGUCUAAUAAGUCCCAUGAAUCCUCACCAUGUUGUUUUGGUUUUUGUCCUGGGGUUGUUUUUCUUAACAGUUUAGUUCACCAGAGAAGUUCUGCUUCCACAUUUUUCGCUGUUAAAAAGGAAAAAUUAUCUAAAAACAAACAAACAAACAAACAAAAAAAAACAGAAAUACUGUAGCUCAAAAGACUUGGACUUUCAGCGUGGCUAUAGCUGGUCAUUAUUUAGUGCUGGCUCUUUGUAAAUUUACUGCUUUAAAGUGGAUUAAAAAUCGCAUUAAUUCUCGUUGAUUGAUUCUCUUUGGCGGGUUCAGCACCUCGGAUAGUUCCCUCACACUUCGG